rnacentral:rRNA from 1 species
AGAGUUUGAUCAUGGCUCAGAAUCAACGCUGGCGGCGUGCCUAACACAUGCAAGUCGAACGCGAAAGUGGAGCAAUCCAUUAGUAGAGUGGCAAACGGGUGAGUAACACGUGGGCGACCUACCUCAGAGUGGGGGAUAACCUUCCGAAAGGAGGGCUAAUACCGCAUGACAUCCCGUGUUUGGAUACACGGAGAUCAAAGCCGGGGAUCGCAAGACCUGGCGCUUGGAGAGGGGCCCGCGUCCGAUUAGCUAGUUGGUGAGGUAACGGCUCACCAAGGCUCCGAUCGGUAUCCGGCCUGAGAGGGCGGACGGACACACUGGAACUGAGACACGGUCCAGACUCCUACGGGAGGCAGCAGUGGGGAAUUGUUCGCAAUGGGCGAAAGCCUGACGACGCAACGCCGCGUGGAGGAUGAAGAAUUUCGGUUCGUAAACUCCUUUCGACCGAGAUGAACAUCCCGCAAUUUAAUACGUUGUGGGACUGACAGUAUCGAGAGAAGAAGCCCCGGCUAACUCUGUGCCAGCAGCCGCGGUAAUACAGGGGGGGCAAGCGUUGUUCGGAAUUACUGGGCGUAAAGGGUUCGUAGGUGGCCAACUAAGUCAGAUGUGAAAUCCCUCAGCUUAACUGGGGAACUGCUUCUGAUACUGGUUGGCUUGAGUGCAGGAGAGGAAUGCGGAAUUCCAGGUGUAGCGGUGAAAUGCGUAGAUAUCUGGAGGAACACCGGUGGCGAAGGCGGCAUUCUGGACUGUAACUGACACUGAGGAACGAAAGCCAGGGGAGCAAACGGGAUUAGAUACCCCGGUAGUCCUGGCCCUAAACGAUGAAUGCUUGGUGUGGCGGGUAUCGAUCCCUGCC